rnacentral:rRNA from 1 species
CAAUGGCGUAUAUUAAAGUUGUUGCAGUUAAAAAGCUCGUAGUUGGAUUUCUGGUAGGAGCGACCGUGCCGAACUUGAUUGUUCGAGUAUUGUGUUGUCUUCAGCCAUCCUCGUGGAGAACUUUUCUAACAUUAACUUGUUGGGAUUGGGACCCGCGUCGUUUACUGUGAAAAAAUUAGAGUGUUUAAAGCAGGCAUUAGCUUGAAUACAUUAGCAUGGAAUAAUAAGAUAGGACUUUGGUACUAUUUUGUUGGUUUGCAUACCAAAUUAAUGAUCAACAGGAACAGUUUGAGGAUAUUCGUAUGAACAUGUCAGAGGUGAAAUUCUUGGAUUUUGAUCAGACGAACUACUGCGAAAGCAUUUAUCAAGGAUGUUUUCAUUAA